UUUUCUGUGUGUGUGUGUGUGUGUGUGUGUUUCCGUUCAUGUGUGAGUGAUGCGUCGGCGGUGCUAUGAAUGAGCAGAGAAGGGUGUUCUCUCAAAGGCACCGUCACAGCCGUGAAAUGAGGAGUGCCAUCUACUCCGCUGCACGUCCGCUGUGCUGAGAGAAGAAGAAGAAGAGGAGGAGGAGGAGAAAACAGGAGUUGCCAGCAGGAGUUUAUAAAGGGAACAAAGUGGUUUGACAKAGAAUCUCACCUGAGGGGGAAUAAAAAACCUUCAUGUCAGCCAUGGAGCCGAAGCCAAACGAGUGUCCCACCAACACUUCGCCUCAGAAGCACAUGAAGAACAGAUCUAAAUCCACUGAGGAGAUGCAGCAGACGAAAAAGGCCUUCUCCUCACAAAAGUCCCUGCCAGGCAGGCCGGAGCUGGACAGAGUGAAGGAGUGUCCCGACGGCUCUGAGACGACCUCCUCUUCCACUGAAGAACUGAAGUGAUGAAUAAAACCAACAUCAGCAACAUAAAAUGUACAUAUGUCCACAAGAAAACACCCAGUGUUUAGAAUAAAACUAGAACCUAAAACAUAAACAGUUCCCACGCUGAAUCAGGUCCCUGUACAAGCAGACGUGUUGAAGCUGUGUCGUUGUGCUGAAUGUGUUCUGAUAACAAAAUAAAAGCAUGUUGUUGAAUAAAA